AUGGUUAAGUUAGAAAGGGCGCACGGUGGAUGCCUUGGCACUAGGAGCCGAUGAAGGACGGGACGAACACCGAUAUGCUUCGGGGAGCUGUAAGCAAGCUUUGAUCCGGAGAUUUCCGAAUGGGGAAACCCACUGCUCGUAAUGGAGUAGUAUCCAUACUUGAAUACAUAGAGUAUGAGAAGGCAUACCCGGGGAACUGAAACAUCUAAGUACCCGGAGGAAGAGAAAGCAAAUGCGAUUCCCUGAGUAGCGGCGAGCGAAACGGGAACAGCCCAAACCAAGAGGCUUGCCUCUUGGGGUUGUAGGACACUCUAUACGGAGUUACAAAGGAACGAUAUAAGCGAAGAGGUCUGGAAAGGCCCGCCAAAGAAGGUAACAGCCCUGUAACUGAAAUGUUGUUCUCUCCAGAGUGGAUCCUGAGUACGGCGGAACACGUGAAAUUCCGUCGGAAUCCGGGAGGACCAUCUCCCAAGGCUAAAUACUCCCUAGUGACCGAUAGUGAACCAGUACCGUGAGGGAAAGGUGAAAAGCACCCCGGAAGGGGAGUGAAAUAGAUCCUGAAACCGUGUGCCUACAAGUAGUCAGAGCCCGUUAACGGGUGAUGGCGUGCCUUUUGUAGAAUGAACCGGCGAGUUACGAUCCCGUGCAAGGUUAAGCAGAAGAUGCGGAGCCGCAGCGAAAGCGAGUCUGAAUAGGGCGCAUGAGUACGUGGUCGUAGACCCGAAACCAGGUGAUCUACCCAUGUCCAGGGUGAAGUUCAGGUAACACUGAAUGGAGGCCCGAACCCACGCACGUUGAAAAGUGCGGGGAUGAGGUGUGGGUAGGGGUGAAAUGCCAAUCGAACCUGGAGAUAGCUGGUUCUCUCCGAAAUAGCUUUAGGGCUAGCCUCAAGGUAAGAGUCUCGGAGGUAGAGCACUGAUUGGACUAGGGGCCCCUACCGGGUUACCGAAUUCAGUCAAACUCCGAAUGCCGAUGACUUAUCCUUGGGAGUCAGACUGCGAGUGAUAAGAUCCGUAGUCGAAAGGGAAACAGCCCAGACCGCCAGCUAAGGUCCCAAAGUAUACGUUAAGUGGAAAAGGAUGUGGAGUUGCUUAGACAACCAGGAUGUUGGCUUAGAAGCAGCCACCAUUUAAAGAGUGCGUAAUAGCUCACUGGUCGAGUGACUCUGCGCCGAAAAUGUACCGGGGCUAAACGUAUCACCGAAGCUGCGGACUGUUCUUACGAACAGUGGUAGGAGAGCGUUCUAAGGGCUGUGAAGCCAGACCGGAAGGACUGGUGGAGCGCUUAGAAGUGAGAAUGCCGGUAUGAGUAGCGAAAGACGGGUGAGAAUCCCGUCCACCGAAUGCCUAAGGUUUCCUGAGGAAGGCUCGUCCGCUCAGGGUUAGUCGGGACCUAAGCCGAGGCCGAAAGGCGUAGGCGAUGGACAACAGGUUGAUAUUCCUGUACCACCUCCUCACCAUUUGAGCAAUGGGGGGACGCAGGAGGAUAGGGUAAGCGCGGUAUUGGAUAUCCGCGUCCAAGCAGUUAGGCUGGGAAAUAGGCAAAUCCGUUUCCCGUAAAGGCUGAGCUGUGAUGGCGAGCGAAAUUUAGUAGCGAAGUUCCUGAUUCCACACUGCCAAGAAAAGCCUCUAGCGAGGUGAGAGGUGCCCGUACCGCAAACCGACACAGGUAGGCGAGGAGAGAAUCCUAAGGUGAUCGAGAGAACUCUCGUUAAGGAACUCGGCAAAAUGACCCCGUAACUUCGGGAGAAGGGGUGCUUCUUAGGGUGUUAAAGCCCCGAGAAGCCGCAGUGAAUAGGCCCAGGCGACUGUUUAGCAAAAACACAGGUCUCUGCGAAGCCGUAAGGCGAAGUAUAGGGGCUGACGCCUGCCCGGUGCUGGAAGGUUAAGAGGAGCGCUUAGCGUAAGCGAAGGUGCGAAUUGAAGCCCCAGUAAACGGCGGCCGUAACUAUAACGGUCCUAAGGUAGCGAAAUUCCUUGUCGGGUAAGUUCCG
rnacentral:rRNA from 1 species